rnacentral:rRNA from 1 species
AUACGGAGGGUGCAAGCGUUGUCCGGAUUUAUUGGGUUUAAAGGGUGCGUAGGCGGAUAUAUAAGUCAGUGGUGAAAUACUUCAGCUCAACUGGAGAGGUGCCAUAGAAACUGUAUAUCUUGAGUGAAGUCGAAGUAGGCGGAAUUGAUGGUGUAGCGGUGAAAUGCAUAGAUAUCAUCAAGAACACCGAUAGCGAAGGCAGCUUACUUGGUUUCAACUGACGCUGAUGCACGAAAGCGUGGGGAGCGAACAGGAUUAGAAACCCCAGUAGUCC